UAUAAUCUUUAUGGGAUAAUAUUUUGUAAGAGAUAUUUGAACUUGGAAUUGCUAGUAAAUUUUAUUAAAUAAGUAGAAUUGAAUGUGUCCCUGUUCUUUGUACACACCGCCCGUCGCUAUCUAAGAUGAUAUAUGUUGUGAAAUUAGUGAAAACUACUUGAACAAUAUGUAUUAGAUCUGAUAUAAGUCGUAACAUGGUUGCUGUUGGAGAACCAUUAGCAGGAUCAUAA
rnacentral:rRNA from 1 species